AUGACAAAUCUCCUGGUCCUGAUGGUUUCAAUAAUUGAGUUCUACAAAGCUUGUUGGGAUAUCAUUGGUCCAGACAUCAGGCAACUAGUUCAUGAUUUCCAUGCAGGGAACAUCAAUUUGGAAAGCAUCAAUGCCUCAUACAUCACUCUCAUUCCAAAGGUGGAUUGCCCCAUACCACGAAAUGACUUCAGACCUAUAUCCUUGCUAAAUAGUUGCCUCAAAAUCAUCACCAACCUAUUGGCUAACAGGUUACAAAAAAUCAUCUUGAAGAUUGUGCACAUUAAUCAAUAUGGGUUUCUCAAGGACAGAGCAAUCCAAGAUUGCUUGGGUUGGGCAUAUGAAUACUUGCACCAGUCUAAAGAGCAAGUGGUUGUAUUCAAAUUGGAUUUUGAAAAGGCUUUUGACAAAAUUGAAUACCAAGCAAUUUUGGAAAUUCUCAAGGCUAAAGGUUUUGGUAGUAAAUGGAUUCACUGGAUGAAAAUGCUAUUUAAUUCGGCCUCAUCUUCUGUGAUACUCAAUGGAGUGCCAGGAAAGAAAUUUUAUUGUAAGAGAGGGGUCAGGCAAGGUGAUCCCCUCUCCCCUCCACUGUUUGUCCUUGCUGCAGACCUACUUCAAUCCAUCCUAAACAAAGCAAUGAGCAGAAACUUAGUUACACCCCCUUUAAAUGUGGGUAGCUGUCUGAUCAUUAUGAAGACAGACCCAGUUCAUUUGUUCAAUCUCAAGGCUCUGCUCAAUACUUUUGCUACUGCUACAGGUCUCAAGGUAAAUUAUCACAAAUCAAAUUUGAUUCACAUCAACUUAUCUGAAGACAGAUCUGACAUCAUGAUUAACACCUUGGGAUGCAAAAGAGGUUAUUUUCCAUUCACAUAUCUUGGAUUGCCACUUGGAGUGGUUAAACCCACUGUAGAGCAAUGCCUUCCUCUGGUGCAGAGAAUUGCAAAAAAACUAACGUGA
rnacentral:rRNA from 1 species